UUUGAAACCUGGCGUGCUGCAGUCCCUGGGGUUGCAAAGAGUCAACAACUGAGAAACACUGCAAGGUCACAGGAGGGGACUCCUCCCUGUUCUGAGACCAGGCUAGAUUCCAGAGCAGCAAGUUAAAGCCCUGCUGAGUUUAGGCUAGGGCCAGUUUUUCCCAGAUUCAGACCUAAUAUGCUAAUUCCUGGCCUAGUGAUGGAAUGCUCAGCUCCCUGCAGGCCUGGCCUGCCAGGGAAGGGAGGUGCCUGCAGACAGCUGAGGGAGUCACUCGGGGAUGAGUCACUCAUCUCUGCUCUGGGCAGUUGAUUGUAUCAUCAACCUUGUCAGUCUCUCUAGCAGGCAAGUGUCCAGGCAUGGACUUAAGGGCAAGAGUGGGAGGAAGAACCCAGGAAGAGGCUCCUGAGGACCAGGGGAAACACAGCCACUGAACGCCCACAGGCGGGUGAUGGAUGAAGUCCAUUUGUUCCGGGAAGCUGCCCUGGCCCAGACAGUGCCUGAACCACGUGCUGGGCACGAGGGACAGCAGGGGAUGAAACACACACCAUCCUUGCCCUCCUGGACUUUAUUCUGCUGUCAGUGUGGGGGCAAGAGCAACAGUAAACAAACGAGCAGGUUCGUAGAGGUGUUGCAAUGCUGCUUUGCUGAGACACGUGUCUGGGAGGGUGAGCAGGGCUGGAGCCGUUAUUUUACAUGAAAUUGCCAAGGGUAGCUUCACUCAUCAGAGGCCUGAAGGUGAUGAGAGAGGCCCGUGGGUGUUUGGGAAGAGAGUCCAGGUGGAGGAAAAAGGAAAGAAAGAGCAAGGAUAUUCAAGAGGGAGGGGACAUACAUAUA
ensembl:lncRNA